rnacentral:pre_miRNA from 14 species
CAGGGGUGACAGGGAGACAGGGAGGGGCUGUCUGACCUGCAGUGACCAGUCAGGAGGCUACUGAU